CAUUCCAUCAUCUCUCAACUAUGCUGGAGUGAAGCUAUACACUGACACACAGCAGAAAAGCCUUUUAAAUCUGAUAAAUACAUUCAUAAAUAUGUCCACAGAGAUAAUAAAGCUAAUCUUAAUGUGGUACAUAGACAGAUACAGCAGUACUGCCUCCUAGCCUGCAGGGGGAGCCGUUCACCAGUUUCAGUGUUCCCUUCAAAAUACCAGGCUGGGUUGUAAACUUGCUUAAUGCUCAUGUGCCUCCCGCACUACAGUUUAAUUGCUUUUGCAUACUAUAGCAGCAUGGAACAGCAGAGCACAGAGGCAAGUGCAUGGGCACACAAUGAAGAUGGGGAACAAGAAUGAAGGACACAGGAAGCUGACAGGGAAAGGAGGAGAAGAAAGGGAAAGGGCUAAAACUGCACUGGGGGAGAUUCAACUGAGGUGGACAGCCGCCUGCACACAUUACGAGCAACCAUCUCAUUAAUUUCCCAGCAUGCAACAGUGAUUACCCCUGCUUAUGUCUCUAACUUCAGUUGUAAGUUAUGAACGCUAUGGAUCAUUUUGGAAAGUUUUUUAGCGAAGCAGUCAGUGGAGUCGAGGGCAGAAGUAAAGGCUAUGAGACGCAUGGUGAGGCCCCGCCCAGGAUGGCAGGAUCGUUCACUCUACCUUGAUGCGCCACCAACCCUGUCACAAACCCAUGGGCAUGGAAACAUUUUUCAAAAGCACUGAGGAGCUUGAAUUAAACUACCAUGGACGUUAUGUGGUUGCAGAGUGUCACAUUGUCCAGUUCACCAUCCCGCUGGGCCAAAGUCAUACACAGAGAUAAGUCUUUCAUGAUGUACAUACAGGUGUACUGUACAUGUGGCACAGGUGGAGACAUGAUUUGUUGUAUGUUGCUUGUUUCAGAAAUCCUCACCUGGACAUAGUGUGGUGCAGGUGACCCUUUGGAAGGGUGGGCCCUCGCAGACGGCCCCGCCAUUGAGUGGUGCUGGAUUGGUACAGCUGCGUGUCCUUCGCUGCCAGCCCCUCCCACAGCGUACGUUGCACUCUGACCACUCUGUCCAGGAUGACCAUCCUCCGCUCACUGAGGAGGAAAGGCAGGCAGAUGGGCCAAAUGCCCACGGAGACCCGAUUCUGUAUCUGCUGUUUUAGACAUUUUUCUAGUAAAGGACGCAAUCAGAUGGGGAUGCCGGGAGUAUAGCCUUGGUUACCAUAGACUAUGAUGGUGGCGGUGCUGCUACGCCUCUUGGCCACCACAUUGUGGGCCACGCAGGUGUAGUUGGCUGUGUCGGAGAGGCGAGCCUGCUUGAUGAUCAGGUCAUGGUCAACGGUUAUCAAGAAGUUGGAGUCCAGUGUUGGGUCGAUUGUGUCUUCGUUCUUCAGCCAGUCCACCUAGAAGUGAAUACAGGUCCAGAUUGCAAGUAGGCUACGUGUCAUGGAAUGAAUCACUUAAGAAGGUAGAAAGUCAGGUGUAAUGAUGGAGGGUGUUGAGAAAUGAAGCGGUGAAGCAAUAGCUGUACCUCAGGAGGAGGGAUGCCCUCUGGGGGCCGACACUGCAGCAACACCUCUUGUUCCAGGCGCACCUCCCUGCCCAGUGGCUCCUGCUCAAAGUUCUUGCGCAAGUCUGCAUGGGAAGGGAGAUGGUGAGUUUGGAGUUCAGUUUUUCAGUAGGUGAUAUCCUGGAGGACACCCGUGAAAAACCUGGUGCACCUACAUGAGUGCACACAAGGAAGCAUGUGUUGCUGAACUCACAAGCGAUGCGCACGUACGCCCGGCGGCUCUUGGUGGUGCCGGCUGAGCUCCAGGCCACGCACUGGCACCAGAAGUCUUCUAGGCCGAACAGCUCCUCCACCUGAGUCCUGGAAACGGAGAUAUCCACUUCUCGUACCACUAGGCCUGCAGGGGAAGCUUGAGGCCGCCAAGGCCCCGACAUCAGCAGAGCCCUGGAUCUGCUCUCCUCACAAUUUUAGUGGUAAUGUUACAGAGAUAGGCGAUGUGCCAGUCCCAUUGCGUCCCUCUAUCAUGCGACAUGAGUGGAAAGCCCCCCUCCCGUUUUCCACUACUAUCCACGGCAUGGUGCUACCUAGCGCGUCACCACCAGACGUGAUGAUUGCGGCCAACGAUUGCUCUGCCAGAACAAGGUUUUUAAUUUACUGCCUCUCUUCAGGCGAAUAAUCAAAUCAGGCCUCCCUGACCUUCACUUCCUCUCUCCCCGAGAGAGACGGACAAGCUCCUGGAGCAUGUUGGCGAAUGGUUGUCUGACAUCCAUAACUCCAGGCAAACUCUGAAAAUCAAUUUCAGUCAAACUAACGACGGUAGGGCACAGCAAAAACUCUAUUACAUUGGGCCCUGAAAGGAUAUUUAAAAUAUCUUACACGAAGUCGCACUCAACCCAUGGCUCUCUACACAUUGGCUAAACCGCCAGGUAUGCUGCAUGGUUUGAUGGGCCGUAACCCAAAGUGGGUUCUGAAAAUGGCAACUCAGAGAAAAGGGAAGGAGGAUAUUUGAGUAUACCACAAAAGUGGACUGGCUCAUACUGGGCUGAAAAGGCAAUCCUAGGACAGUGAGUUCAACCCUGAAAGGGACAGGGCUUCAUAGGGAAUCUGGUAUCCAGGGUGGAACUACUACACCCUGGUUUAAGAACUGCAGUCAGAGUCUUCUCAUUCUUACUGCUUCUGUCUGGAAAGUGAGGUCAGACAAGGAGGAAGGAGUGUGAGGAGAGGUCCCAGACACUCUGCCACUCGCGUUGCAUUGAUCGCUGGGCACAAACUAAAAGUGAAAAGACGGCCGUCGUUUGGAAGUUUGAAAAAAGACGCAAUCAUCCAAAUCCCACCUCUGCACCGACCCUCCAAUAUCAUUUGGGCAGCAUUAAUAUCAAGUCGACCUGGACUUUCAGAACAGAUGCAGUUUAAUUAACAAAAGCAGACAUGGGGCAAGCAUGGAAAAGCAGUCUUUUAGAGAGUGAGGGAGAGGCGGGAAACAGGACGAUUGUAGGGUUUUACUGGAACCUGUGUUUUCCACCGGUGCACAAACAGCCGGCAAUUUCUGUGGAAUGCCCAAUGCUUUAAAGAGGAGUGCUCUUAA